UUGAGAGUUUGAUCCUGGCUCAGGAUGAACGCUAGCUACAGGCUUAACACAUGCAAGUCGAGGGGCAGCGAGGUUGAAGCUUGCUUCAACUGUCGGCGACCGGCGCACGGGUGAGUAACACGUAUCCAACCUGCCAUUCACUCUCGGAUAGCCUUCUGAAAGGAAGAUUAAUACGAGAUGGUAUCAUGAGUCAGCAUUUUCGCAUGAUUAAAGAAUUUCGGUGGAUGAUGGGGAUGCGUUCCAUUAGGCAGUUGGCGGGGUAACGGCCCACCAAACCUACGAUGGAUAGGGGUUCUGAGAGGAAGGUCCCCCACAUUGGAACUGAGACACGGUCCAAACUCCUACGGGAGGCAGCAGUGAGGAAUAUUGGUCAAUGGACGAGAGUCUGAACCAGCCAAGUAGCGUGAAGGAUGACUGCCCUAUGGGUUGUAAACUUCUUUUAUACGGGAAUAAAGUUCACUACGUGUAGUGUUUUGUAUGUACCGUAUGAAUAAGGAUCGGCUAACUCCGUGCCGGCAGCCGCGGUAAUACGGAGGAUCCGAGCGUUAUCCGGAUUUAUUGGGUUUAAAGGGAGCGUAGAUGGGUGUUUAAGUCAGUUGUGAAAGUUUGCGGCUCAACCGUAAAAUUGCAGUUGAUACUGGACGCCUUGAGUGCAGUUGAGGUAGGCGGAAUUCGUGGUGUAGCGGUGAAAUGCUUAGAUAUCACGAAGAACUCCGAUUGCGAAGGCAGCCUACUAAGCUGUAACUGACAUUGAGGCUCGAAAGUGUGGGUAUCAAACAGGAUUAGAUACCCUGGUAGUCCACACGGUAAACGAUGAAUACUCGCUGUUGGCGAUAUACAGUCAGCGGCCAAGCGAAAGCAUUAAGUAUUCCACCUGGGGAGUACGCCGGCAACGGUGAAACUCAAAGGAAUUGACGGGGGCCCGCACAAGCGGAGGAACAUGUGGUUUAAUUCGAUGAUACGCGAGGAACCUUACCCGGGCUUAAAUUGCACUGGGACAGUUCUGGGAAACAGAACCUUCUUCGGACCAGUGUGAAGGUGCUGCAUGGUUGUCGUCAGCUCGUGCCGUGAGGUGUCGGCUUAAGUGCCAUAACGAGCGCAACCCUUAUCUUUCAGUUACUAACAGGUCAUGCUGAGGACUCUGGAGAGACUGCCGUCGUAAGAUGUGAGGAAGGUGGGGAUGACGUCAAAUCAGCACGGCCCUUACGUCCGGGGCUACACACGUGUUACAAUGGGGGGUACAGAAGGCAGCUACCUGGCGACAGGAUGCUAAUCCCGAAAGCCUCUCUCAGUUCGGACUGGAGUCUGCAACCCGACUCCACGAAGCUGGAUUCGCUAGUAAUCGCGCAUCAGCCAUGGCGCGGUGAAUACGUUCCCGGGCCUUGUACACACCGCCCGUCAAGCCAUGAAAGCCGGGGGUACCUGAAGUGCGUAACCGCAAGGAGCGUCCUAGGGUAAAACUGGUAAUUGGGGCUAAGUCGUAACAAGGUAGCCGUA
rnacentral:rRNA from 1 species